rnacentral:rRNA from 1 species
CGAAUCUUAAUGCAACAUCGAGGUCGCAAACUUGUUCAUCGAUAUGAACUCUCCGAAAAAAUUACGCUGUUAUCCCUAAGGUUAAGUUAAUCUUAUAAUCCAAAAAUUCUGGAUCAUAAAAACAUUAAUCUAUGAAAUAAUUAAUAAAAGUUAAAUAAAUUUUAAUGUCACCCCAACAAAACUUUUUAUUAAAUAAAAAUAAAAAAACAAAAAAAUAAAUAAUUAUAUAAAAAAAGUUAACUUCUAUAGGGUCUUCUCGUCCUAUAAAAAAAUUUCAGCUUUUUAACUAAAAAAUUAAAUUAAAUUAAAUUAAAAUAAGAAAGACUGUAUUUCAUCAAACCAUUCAUUCUAGCCUCCAAUUAAAAGACAAAUGAUUAUGCUACCUUCGUACAGNUNAAAUACCGCAUCCUUUUAAUAUCU